AGAGUUAAACAGUACGUGAAAUUGUUGAAAGGGAAACGAUUGAAGCCAGUCGUACCUUCGGGUAAUCAGCCUUUCGGGUGCGAUUCUGUGGAGUUUGAGGAGCUUAACACCUUCAUGCUUUGCAUAUUCGUGCUCUUGGGUGUACUUGCUCGUAUGGUUGGUUAACAUCAAUUUUGGUGGUCAUAAAAUGACUGGAGGAAUGUAGCUUCGAUCUCGUAUUGAAGUGUUAUAGCCUUCGGUAGAUGUGAUGACUGAGAUUGAGGAUUGCAACGGAUACCCCUCGGGGCUACCUGUCUGAUCUCUGAUCGUUGCUCUGGUGCCGAAAGCUUGCUUACGGUUGUCAAAGUCGAUGGUCAAUAGGUUAGAAUGGGUUAAAUUCGUUAAGGAUGUUGACGUAAUGGCUUUAAACGACC
rnacentral:ncRNA from 2 species